rnacentral:rRNA from 1 species
AGAAGUGCGCUUAGUUGGGUAGGGGAGCGUUCUGUAAGCCUGCGAAGGUGUACUGUGAGGUAUGCUGGAGGUAUCAGAAGUGCGAAUGCUGACAUAAGUAACGAUAAUGCGGGUGAAAAACCCGCACGCCGGAAGACCAAGGGUUCCUGUCCAACGUUAAUCGGGGCAGGGUGAGUCGACCCCUAAGGCGAGGCUGAAAAGCGUAGUCGAUGGGAAACGGGUUAAUAUUCCCGUACUGGUGGUAACUGCGAUGGGGGAACGGAGAAGGCUAGGUUGUCCGGGCGACGGUCGUCCCGGUUCAAGCAGGUAGGCAGAGUGAUUAGGCAAAUCCGGUCACUUAAUGCUGAGAUGUGAUGACGAACCACCAAGGUGGUGAAGCAAUUGAUGCCCCGCUUCCAGGAAAAGCCUCUAAGCUUCAGGUUACCAACAAUCGUACCCCAAACCGACACAGGUGGUCAGGUAGAGAAUACUCAGGCGCUUGAGAGAACUCGGGUGAAGGAACUAGGCAAAAUGGUGCCGUAACUUCGGGAGAAGGCACGCUGGCGGUACUGGACUUGAGACUGCCUCGAAUUUUAUGUAAAUAGAAUUCGGGGCUUUCGUCUUUUUGGUCCUCGCAAAUGCUUGAACCAAAAUGAUCCAAGCACCCGCCUGUAUACUAACAGAAAAUAGCCGUGUGUCUCUGUUUAUUUUGCCAAAAUAAAGCUAAAAAGAUUUAUUAAAUCAAUGAGUUAUUUUGUUUUAUAAGUGGGGUUUAUAAUGCGUUGUUUGAUUUGUGAUCUAUUUAAAAACGUCCGUGAUAUAUAUUGAACGCAAGUGAUAUGAUUGUUUAAAGUAGGGUGCUUGUGAACACAAGGCGCAACAACAUUGGGUGAGAAAUUGUGGGGGAAAAUUCCCCCACAAAGCUAUUUAUCGCAAGAUAAAUUCGCUUGAACUAGGGUGUUACCACUGCUGAUAUUAAAAGAGCACAAUCUUUCAUGUCUCAGUAGGGUAAAACACAAAACUGUAAUACAUACAGUAAUCAGCCCAAUAAGGGCAAGCUUAGUCAUUUCUCUUGACACUCCUUGUUAAAGGAGACAGAAUCAAGUUGUUGAUGGAGACACUUUCGGGUUGUGAGGUUAAGCGAAUAAGCGUACACGGUGGAUGCCUAGGCAAUCAGAGGCGAUGAAGGACGUGCUAAUCUGCGAAAAGCGUCGGUAAGGUGAUAUGAACCGUUAUACCCGACGAUAUCCGAAUGGGGAAACCCAGUAUCCAAUGGAUACUAUCAUUAACUGAAUCCAUAGGUUAAUGAGGCGAACCGGGAGAACUGAAACAUCUCAGUACCCCGAGGAAAAGAAAUCAACCGAGAUUCCCCUAGUAGCGGCGAGCGAACGGGGAGCAGCCCAGAGUCUUAAUCAAUAGCAGUGUCAGGAGAACGGUCUGGAAAGUCCGGCAGUAAAGGGUGAUAGCCCCGUAUCUGAAGAUGCUGUUAUUGUGAACUCGACGAGUAGGGCGGGACACGUGUUAUCCUGUCUGAAUAUGGGGGGACCAUCCUCCAAGGCUAAAUACUCCUGAUUGACCGAUAGUGAACCAGUACCGUGAGGGAAAGGCGAAAAGAACCCCGGCGAGGGGAGUGAAAAAGAACCUGAAACCGUGUACGUACAAGCAGUAGGAGCCGUAUAGGGGAGCCGUAGGGAAACCGAGUCUUAACUGGGCGAAUGAGUUGCAGGGUAUAGACCCGAAACCCGGUGAUCUAUCCAUGGGCAGGUUGAAGGUUGGGUAACACUAACUGGAGGACCGAACCGACUAAUGUUGAAAAAUUAGCGGAUGACUUGUGGAUGGGGGUGAAAGGCCAAUCAAACCGGGAGAUAGCUGGUUCUCCCCGAAAGCUAUUUAGGUAGCGCCUCGUGAACUCAUCUUCGGGGGUAGAGCACUGUUUCGACUAGGGGGUCAUCCCGACUUACCAACUCGAUGCAAACUGCGAAUACCGAAGAAUGUUAUCACGGGAGACACACGGCGGGUGCUAACGUCCGUCGUGAAGAGGGAAACAACCCAGACCGCCAGCUAAGGUCCCAAAGUCAUGGUUAAGUGGGAAACGAAGUGGGAAGGCUCAGACAGCCAGGAUGUUGGCUUAGAAGCAGCCAUCAUUUAAAGAAAGCGUAAUAGCUCACUGGUCGAGUCGGCCCGCGCGGAAGAUGUAACGGGGCUAAACCAUGCACCGAAGCUGCGGCAGCGAAAUUUUCUCACGUGGUGACGGUUCCGACUGAUCCGCAAUCAGGCCAACCUUCUGGCCAACGUGCGCAUAAACCGUUUCGUUUUACCGUGGCAUUAAACAAAGCCGUUCCUCUGCUGUAUAACGCACUGGCUUCCGGCGAAAUGUUGCCAAAAGUUGAGUUAAAAUGGUAUCGCACGUCUGUUGAAGGUAAACAAGAGCACUUCUUUACCACCACACUGACUGACGCGACGAUCGUGAACAUCGAUUGCCAAAUGCCUCAUUGUCAAGAUCCGGCUAAAGCCGACUUCACGCAACUUAUCGAAGUCUCCCUCUCUUACCGCAAAAUUGACUGGGAGCACACUGUUGCUGGAACGUCUGGUGCGGAUGACUGGCGUGCGCCUCUCGAAGCGUAAUACCGUUAUGACGAGUCCUUGGGGGCUCGUCCUUAUUUUGUAUUGUUCCCUUUUCUUUAUCCAUUUUUGCAUGGAGGCAGAUUAUGCUUAGCAAAGAUCCGAAAUCAACGCCCAUUGACCCGGCAUCCGUUUUAAAAGAUGAAGCCAUCAAUCAAGUGAAAAAUAGGGUGCAAUCCAAAGUGAACGAAACGCUAUCGACACCCACGCAAAAGGUGGCCGGGAUGGCCUCAGCAGCGGCCUCGCUCACGCGAAGCUCCUGAUCGAAGCCCCAGUAAACGGCGGCCGUAACUAUAACGGUCCUAAGGUAGCGAAAUUCCUUGUCGGGUAAGUUCCGACCUGCACGAAUGGCGUAAUGAUGGCCAGGCUGUCUCCACCCGAGACUCAGUGAAAUUGAACUCGCUGUGAAGAUGCAGUGUACCCGCGGCAAGACGGAAAGACCCCGUGAACCUUUACUAUAGCUUGACACUGAACAUUGAGCCUUGAUGUGUAGGAUAGGUGGGAGGCUUUGAAGUGUGGACGCCAGUCUGCAUGGAGCCAACCUUGAAAUACCACCCUUUAACGUUUGAUGUUCUAACCUAGGCCCAUAAACUGGGUCGGGGACCGUGUCUGGUGGGUAGUUUGACUGGGGCGGUCUCCUCCUAAAGAGUAACGGAGGAGCACGAAGGUUGGCUAAGCAUGGUCGGACAUCAUGCGGUUAGUGCAAAGGCAUAAGCCAGCUUGACUGCGAGAGUGACGGCUCGAGCAGGUACGAAAGUAGGUCUUAGUGAUCCGGUGGUUCUGAAUGGAAGGGCCAUCGCUCAACGGAUAAAAGGUACUCCGGGGAUAACAGGCUGAUACCGCCCAAGAGUUCAUAUCGACGGCGGUGUUUGGCACCUCGAUGUCGGCUCAUCACAUCCUGGGGCUGAAGUAGGUCCCAAGGGUAUGGCUGUUCGCCAUUUAAAGUGGUACGCGAGCUGGGUUUAGAACGUCGUGAGACAGUUCGGUCCCUAUCUGCCGUGGGCGUUGGAAGAUUGAGAGGGGUUGCUCCUAGUACGAGAGGACCGGAGUGAACGCACCACUGGUGUUCGGGUUGUCAUGCCAAUGGCAUUGCCCGGUAGCUAAGUGCGGAAGAGAUAACCGCUGAAAGCAUCUAAGCGGGAAACUUGCCUCGAGAUGAGUCUUCCCUGUCGCUUUAAGCGACCUAAAGGAACGUUUAAGACUAAGACGUUGAUAGGCUGGGUGUGUAAGCGUAGCGAUACGUUGAGCUAACCAGUACUAAUGAACCGUGAGGCUUAACCUGACAACACCGAAUCA